CUCUAUGUCACGAACCUAGAUUCGUUACACCCGAACAAACUAGAACCGUGCGGCCUUAACGUUUGACAAUCCCCGUCCUUCACGAGAAAACGUUAAGUCAGCCUUUCUAUGCCACAAAUAAUUUAACCAAUGAGACCAAAUUAUAACCACUUUGAGAAGAGAAUUUUGGAGUAAGGAAUAUAUGGAAAGCAAGUAAGGAUAGGGAAACUUUCUUUGUAUAAAUAAAAGGGGAAAACUUUACAAUUUCUCUAAUGAAUAAACUCAUUUCACUUUACAUUCUCUACACAUUUUCUACAUUUACUACAUAUCUUUACAAAUGAGACUUAUAUCUCUAUUUAUAGGCAAAACUUAAACCUCCUUAAGCAUUCCACUUUACAACUCGCGCUUAGUUGGUUAUAACUCGUGCUUAGUUAGUUACAACUCAUGCUUAGUUGUCGUCAAGUGGACAUUCUCUACCAUGUUCCUUGCAAGUUGGCACCAACUCGAUCUCAGCUUGCAUACAACUCGCGCUUAGCUUGCAUUGUUGAUAUUUAUCCUUGCCAACUCAAUCUUAGCUUGCAUAUUGAUAAUAUCUUGCAAGUGGCACAAGUGGAUAAGUUGUACAAGUUGCCUACUUGCAUCCCAAAAUAUCCCGCUGCAGGUCUAUGUACUUUUCCUCCCAAAAUGGCUGGUUCGGGACUUUGAAAAACCUCAUAAGCGUGCUGGAAAAUAGUACGAUUUAGGCAGCCUGCAUUCUGCCCAAAACAAUCUAUAUGCGUCCCCAGCCUGAGUCUACCUGCAUCCCUCAAUCGCGAGCUGUUUCGUCCUGCUGAAACGCGUUACCCGUGCUGUCUUGCGGCCACUACCGAGACGGAUCAAUCACGACCGUGUGGGGCAUAAGUCACUCCCCCACUGAAUUUGGCGACGCCUUCAUCGCAUACCGCUGAAGCUUAGACCUUAUUUGCCAUAAGUCUAUCUCAUUUUCCCAUUUUGUGCCAUGACAUUCCCGUGCAUGCCAAGCCUUAAGUCAUGACCUUGCGGUCCGUAACAUUCUCCCCCACUCAAUCUGCUAACGUCCUCGUAGCGAAACGUGUUCGGUGCAUCCUCAUGCAACCUUGCAUUGUCGUUCCUGUCAGUGGGCAUCAAAGUUCUCCCAACUUGCGGCACCAUCUCCUCGAUGACCGAGUUUCCACAGUGCCCCUUGCACCUCUUCCCGUUGCAACCUCUUGCAUGCCACCUUCGACACCAACCUUCACCCUUAACACCUCUACCUUGGUUCCUCGGAUGGGAUGGACAACUCCUACGAUUGUAGUGUCCCCACACCUGUCGAAGCUUUGAACCUUCGUGCACCUAAUUUCGGACUUCUUUGACAAUGUUUCCUCAAUUUCCUUCUUUUUCGAUAGUUCCCUCGACAACUCCGUGGGCAUAAUGUCCUUAUCACCUUCAAGGACUUCAGCUAACUGCAACCCUAACAGUUGUUGUGUUUCCAUCUCCCCAGAAACUGUUUCGACACUCGUAGCAUUAAACAGCUGGAAUGAAUUCAUUCGAACUUCAUCCUCGUCUUGGCUAUCCAUAGCCUCCGGUUUGCUCUCCGAAAUGGAAAUAGAUACCAAUGAUCCCAACUUAGGACAAUCCCUCAUGAGAUGUGGUCCUUUGCAAAUAAAGCAACCUCGAGAUGUAAAAUUACUCCUCUUCUUCUCAUCAUACUGGAGUUGUUGCCACCGAGUUUGUAAUCAACUUUGGGAUUUGGCCUCAAAUCCGGCUUACUCCAUUGCAUGGCUUUCCCUGUAUCUUCCUUAUUACCCCCAAAAUUUUCUUUGGCGGGUUUGAUAGUUUUAGCUUCGGUCUCAAGACUUUCUUCAAACUCCAUCAAGGAUUCGACUACUGCAAUUGCCUCGUCUACGAUUUUGACAUCACGACGUUGCAACUUUUGUCUUAUCCAUGUUGCACAACUGUCUAGAGAAUAGAAUAGCAAAUCAUCCUCCGGCAUGCUUGGGAUUUGAAGCAUAAGGGUCGUGAACUCUUUAACAUAGUCAUGAAUUGUUCCCGUAUGUUUCAAUUCCCUCAAUUUCUUGCGGGCCUCAUAGACAACAUUCUCCGGGUAGAAUUGCCUCUUUAUUUCCCUUUUGAACUCAUCCCAAGUAUCAACUGUACAAGCCCCCUUGCAAUUUCACCAUGCUUAUGAUGCCACCACAACGCCGCAAUAUCCGAGAGAUACAUAGAAGCGGUCCGAAUUUUCAUGGCUUCAUCAACAAGAUUUACACCUUCAAAGUAGACUUCCAUUUGCCAUAGGAAGUUUUCCACAUCUUUGGCAUCCGUCGUCCAUCAUAAUGUUUAGGCUUCGGGUAUUCAAUCCUCGGGGCAACAAUAGUUGAAGCGACACCUCCGCUUGUACCGGUAGUGGAGUGCUUGUAUUGAUCAAGCUCUUUGCUCAUUCUUUCCAUCAUCACAGCCAAUUGGUUAACUUGGCCAUGCAUGGCAGAAACGACAUCCAAGACUUUGGUUUGGAGACGACCAAAAUCAUCCGUCACCGCACCUUGUCCGGCUACCACAGCUCGAACAUCAUCUUUCAUCGUUUGGAUAUCAUUUUCCAACAAUACUUGUGUGUCCAUCACCUCUUGGACAUUAAUUUGUAGGGUUUCUAGCUUUCCAAUGGCGUGUCCCUCCAACGCCUCGAAGGAGCUUUCAAGAUAUUCGACUUGAUCACCCAUAUUUGCGAUGAUUUGGUCAAGUUUCCCUUCCAUGUUGGUGGCUUCCCUCACCUUACUUUUGCCUCGAGUUUUCCUUACUUCAGUUUGAGCAGCACCUCAACCCAUCUCCUCAAUCUCAAUAUCAACAGUUUCUUGAGAUUCUGCUAUUUGAGCACCUCACCCAAAUCUAGCUUCCAAGAAUCUCCGGCGAAUCUGGCUACCACAUCCGCACUUGGUUACCACAACCAAACCUUCGCUUUGAUAUUGUCUCCGUAGUCCACCCUACGUGAACCUUACACAGACAUCACCUCACCUCUGAGAUGAAAAAUUAGUUCAACCCCACGUGAACCUUGCUCUAAUACCACUUGUCACGGACCUAGAUUCGUUACACCCGAACAAACUAAAAUCGUGCGGCCUUAACGUUAGACAAUUCCCGCCUCUCACGAGAAAACGUUAAUUCAGUCUUUCUACACUCACAAAUAAUUUAACCAAUGAGACUAAAU
rnacentral:lncRNA from 1 species